GGAUUUCCUGGUUUGGCGCUGCCGUGUCCUGCUUCGGUGAGCCAAGGGCCUGCCACGGAGCUGUACCUGCUGAGACAACACACAGGACAGGAAAAAAAUCAUUUAAUUGGACCCAGCUCUGCCAGGACCUUUGGUUUUGAUCCGUUGGGGAAGUUUCUUUGGAGUUAGCAACUGCAGGGUGUAUCAAGGGAGAGCACUUCCUUUGGCUCUUUCUCUGGUUUGUCACUUCCUUUCUGGUUUAAAUUAAUUUUGUGUGCUCCUGUUAGGGAAACAGCAUGUUUUUACCUUCAGGUAUGGGGUGGUUUUAUUUGUUUAGGUUACUUUUUCCCCCCCCACUGAAUCAGGCCUUGCACAAAUAGUCUGUGUUGUUGUACACGCUUUGCUUACGGGUCAGAGAAGGAAGUGAAAUUGCAUUUUAUUGUCUUAUAUUUCCCCACACAUAAAGGGGGAUGUUGUCCUGCCACUCCCCAAACCACUCCAGCCAGAGCUGGCAGGGUUGCAAUGGAAUUCAAGGUAAACCCAGGGAGUCAGUAGGGAACAGACAGGGGAAAUUUUGGGGGGGUAAAACUUGAAAUAACCUUUAGGGCAGAGAAUGAACGAUUCUGAGGUAAAAAUGAAGUAAUCAAUAGUGGACAGAUAGGGAGAAUACUGUGAGUGAAUCUUUAGUUAAUCUGUAAGGGGAAGAAUGAACAUUUUGAGGUAAACAGAUGGAAUCAGCAGUGGACAGACAGGAAAUUUUAGGGGUAAAAUUGAGGUGAUGUGUAGAGGAGAGAAAACAGCAUUUGGAGGUAAAUAUGAGGUUAAAAGUUCUGGACAGGUAGGGAAAUCUGUAGGGAAAAUUUCAGGGGAAAUCCCGAGGUAAUCUGCAGUGGAUAGAAUGAAUAAUUGGGAUAGGAUAGAGGUAAUUAACAGAUUAACAAUUUGAGGGUAAAACAUGAGGUAAUUUGUAAUGGGCUGAAUGAACAUUUUGAGGUGAAAAGGAGGUUGUCAGUGGUAAACGCGUCAGGAUAAUUUUGUGAUGAAACUUGGGCUGCUCUGUGAAGUACAAUUAAUAUUUUGGGGGGGAAAUGUCAGGCCACCAGUCCUUUUGGCAAGCUGAAAUCUGGAGAGGGAAUUGGAGGCUGUGUCACACGGAUAUCGGAGCUGCUCAACUGCUGUAGAGAAAUUGUUGAUCUUAUCCUUUUAAAAAGGGUUUUUAUCACAGGUCUCUCAUUUCUCAAUGGUCACCGAAGUUCCAUGUGCAAUUCUGCUCCCCUGUAAGAAGUCUCCAGGAUGGAGCCCUUUAAUGCUGUGAGGGGAUCGGGGCCCCAAAGAUCCAACUCUGGCACUAUCCUGGGGGUCCCUGGGGGGAAGUGAGGGUGGCACUGGCCAUCAGCAGAGGGCUCAGGCGUGACAAUAAAACAAACCUUGGCCACCCCGAGGCUUUUGGCAUUUUUUGUUUCCUCUUUUUUUAGCCAUUUCCAUCCCAGGCAGGACCUUCCCCGACUGGAAAUAAAGAUUAAAUAUUUCAACGGGGUUUUUAAAAGCGGCAGUUUUGCCACUGGAGACCGAGACGCGCGGGGACAUUGAGGGAGGGGAUGGGAUCUCAGCUGGCAGCUGAGCUGCUCCUUACCGGGGGCAGGGAACAGCUGCUGUGGAAACUCCCGGGCCCGGCGGGGUCCCGGGCCCGAUCCGGAACCGAUGCCGAUCUCGGUACCGAUCCCAAUCCGGAACCGAUCCCGGUACAGACACGGAUCCUAGCCCGAUACGGCCCCGAGCCUCCCGACGGGGGAGAGGAAACACAGCCCGGGAACCCCCGGCAGACCCCGGCAGGGGGCGAGCGCCCCAUCCCGGCUCCGGCUGGGAGCUCCAGCAGCCGCUUGCGGCCCGCCUCGUCCCGCCAGCGGAGCGGGAGGGCAUCGAGGCCAGGCUGGGCCGUGCCCGGUGCCAGCCCGGUCCCAACCCCGAUCCGGCCGGGACCCGCAGCCCGCGGGGGAGAGGCGGCAGCGCCCCGCGAGCGGGCACGGGCAGCGCUCGGUCCCACAGCCCCGGCCCCGCUCCCGCC